AUCCAAGAAGAUCUGGCUGGUGCCCAUC
rnacentral:piRNA from 1 species